rnacentral:pre_miRNA from 1 species
AUAUGAAUCGCCUGGGGAUCUUGUUAAACUGCAGAUUCUGAUUCAGUAGGUCUGGUGGGGCCUGGAAGUCUGCAGGUCUGACAAGCUCCCAAGGGAUGCUGCU